GUGCGCCCCUCUCUUCUUCGUCUCCCUUCCCCCAGCCUGGGGUGCGUCACAAGGGUGUUUUUCUAGACUCAGCUGGAACAAGGUCAUCUGGGCUUUGGAGGGGAAGAGCUGCAAGUGCCCUAGCCAUUCAUCCAUUCGCUAAUGCACUGCAGAAUGUGUGCCAGGCACUGUGCUGGUGUUUGGAAUUCACCAAUGGUGAAGACCGACUUGCUGCCUUCCUGAAGCUGCCAGACCAGUGAGAACCACCAAGCAGGCAAGCAAGGACCCCACAGAGCCCACGUGGAAUCUGUUCUCUCAGAGAAAGGCCUCAAGUCAAGGAGGAGAAGCCACGAUGGCCAUUUUACAGAGGUGGUGGCUUGUCCAAGCCAUAGGGCAAGUACACAGGGAAUCUGAGGCCCCACCUCAGUCGUCAGGCCCUGAGCGCCUGUUCUUGUCUCAUACUUGGGUGGUCCUUGCAGAAAAAUAGGGGCUGAAAGUAAGCUUGCUACCUAAGGGUGACUGGGUGUGGGGUGGGCAAUUAGGCAAGAGAAGAAAUUGAAGACAUUCAAUAGGAAAGGAAGAAGUGAAACUAUCACUGCUGAUAUGAUCACAUGAGUAGGAAGCUAUAAGGAGUCCGUUACAAAACCGUUAGAAUUCAUCGCAGUGUACAAAAACCAACACACACAAAUCAGGAACGUUUCUAUUUGCCAACAAGGAAUUUUGUGAAAAACUAAAUGUAGAGAAAUUAAGAGAACAACUCCAUUUACAAUGGCUACAAAAAAUACUUAGGAAUAAAUUUAACCAAGGAAGAGAAAGACUCGUGUAAUAAAAACAAUGAAAUGUGGAUUAAAGAAGACAGAAGUAAAUGGAAAGAGAUCCCCUGUUCAUGGAUUGGAAUCGGAAUAAUUAAUACAGCUAAAAUCUCCAUAUUUCCCAAUGCGAUCUGCAGUUCAGUGCAACCCCCAUCGAAAUUUCAAUGUCCUUUUUCCUAGAAAUAGAAAAUCAGGUACUUUUCUUUGUAACCUGGGUCUAGUAUUCAGUUUUCUCCUGCUUCUCUCUCUUCUCCCAGUAGGUGGGGCCAUGGGAAGGGCUGGGAAGGGCUGGGAAGGCCCGGAAGUAGAUGUUCUAAGUCCCUGGGCUAAGCCUGGUGGGGUGCACAGAAUGUUCCUUGGCUUCUGCAUCAUCCCCUCUUCCUCCCACCUCCUCCAGCUCCUCUCCAGCCUUCUCACAUUCCAUCUCCCCCUCUUCAUCUUUUGCCUUUUCCUACUCCAUUAAUUUCUUCUUCCUUUCCCACUCAUCUUGCUUUCUCCUUUCCUUCCUCCCCAUUUUUUCUCCCUAUCUUUUAUCUCCCCCCCUCCUUCCCCCUUCUUUUCUUCUUCGAACUAAUUGCUCAAAGGUGAAGACCAGGUCGACUUGUGAAAACCCUGAUCCAUCGCCAUGGUGAUGCUAAUUCAAGCUGAGUUCAAAGGAAAUUGCUCCAGUUAAAACUAACAAGCUGGAGCCGGCGCCCAGCAAGGACCAGUGCCAAGAGGAGCGAGCCUUGAGCCCCAGUGCCCAGAAAAAUAGGAAAACAACCCCAAGGGCCUCUCACACGCCUACUCCUUACCGUGCCCUCCCUUGCAGCCUUCAGGUCUGUCCCAGCCCAGAGCAAAUCUGCAAGGUCUUUGCAGCAAGCCCUCUGUCUCCAGGCCGGACUUCCCAAGCCACGUCAAGCAGCUGGGCAGCCAGCACCAGCUCUGUUUUAAAGCCAUUGCAUAGUCUCCCUCACGCUGCGGUUCUGGGGUUUAACCACCCUUGCUUUGGAGAGUUCUUUACGGUCCACACCAACACUCUGCAUUGCUUUCUAGUAAGGAUAGACUUGGAAGUACCAGGAGCAAAGGAACAAACCCGAAGAGAUGCUUGCUGUGAGUUCGAUGCUGUCCUAAGACUUCAUGAGUGUUUGCUCAAUUUUGUGGGAAAGAUCCCAAUGGAACAAACUGCUAGGAGCCUGGGGUGACUCCAGCAAGGUCUGGCUGGUUUAAAGAACCACAUGGCAGCCCUCAAACUGGGGAGAGAUGCCUCAAAACUGGAAAGAGGAGGGUCUAAGUACCAGUGACAGCCUUCACGGCUUUGCCCCCUCCAGUCCUUCCUUCCUGGCCCCACAGCCUGCAGCUGUGGUGCCUUCCAUCUCAGCACAUGCCACUUGUAGUCUGGUCACCUGCAUGUGGUUCUUCUCUACUCUGAGGGCAGGGUCCAUGCCUUCUUUUUGCACCGAACAAAAUCUGUUCCAAAGCAGGCCGUGGCUCAAUAUUAAUUUCAUGUCUGAAUGCUGAAGGGGAAGGAAUCCUAGAUCCUUGGGAGGUACAAAAAUUUUAGUUCCCUGAGGUCAUGAGACUCUGAAGGAGCUGGGUUAGGGGAGCUCGGCCCCAUGGUACCAACCGCAGACCAGCUGGAGAAUUUUCUGCUGGAUCUUGUAGUUCUGGUCCGUUGGCCAGGCCACCCUGGACACCCUACUCCUUAGCAGCUCUCACCUCUUUGCCUUUGACCUUCCAGAAGACCUCAUUCCUUUGCUCAACACCCAGUUUUGUGUUUUUUUUUUUUUUUUAAAUUUGUAUCUGGGAUGGAACCCAGGGAUACUUUGCCAUGAAGCGACAUCUCUAUUCCUUUUUAUUUUUUAUUCUGAGACAAGUUCUCACUAAGCUGCUGAGGGUCUUGCUAAGUUGCUGAGGCUGGCCUUGAAUUUGCAAUCCUCCUGCCUCAAUCUUCUGAGGUGCUGGGCUUACAGGCGUGUGUUCACUGUGCCAGGCUUUUCAAUUCAAUUUUAUUGUUUUAAUCCCAAGAUAUCUAGUGAUCCUCUAGGAACUAAAGAGGUACUGGUCUAGCAGAGGGAGAAAUUCCUUGAAGGCCAAGACCACAUCUAUGCAACCAUCACCUUCUGGUAACCAAAGCACAUAAAAAUGCUGUGAGCUCACUGGAGGGCGCCACAAUUAAAUGAGAGAGUGACCUGAGGCCUGGCUGCCCCAUGGGAAGGAGCCCGAGGGCUUCAGCUCUGCUUUCCUCAGAUGUGCUCCUCCGCUUUGGGAAGGCUCCUCUGCUCUUUGUUCCUCAGCUUCUCCGAGUGUAACAAAGGAUGCUCAUUGCUCAGCCACCUAGCGCUCCCAGACACGUCAGGAGAGUCAGGAAGCUAAGAAUGUGGGACAGCGUCCCCACCUGCACCAAGGCCAGCAGCGCCUCCCUCCCCAACCCAGGAGGUGGUGAAUUGAGGUUCAAGCCCAACCUAUGUCCUACAGACUGUGGGAUUCCCCCCACGUGCACCCCAACGACUGUCCUGAAGGGGAUUACUGUGCCUGGAUUACAGAGGCCAAGUCCUGCCAGGAGGGAGGAGGAAGUGACUCAGCAGGGGCUGGGAAGGCCGGGCCAGCCUCCCACUCUGGGACAGCUUGCAGGGAGCUUUGUGCUCAGCCCUGUUCCUUUCAUCCCAGCAUCUCAAAGCCCCUUUCAAGCUGGAAGCAGCCCUGGGAGCUGGGUCAUUAUCUCAAUUAACAGGAGAAAGCUGAGGCCCAGGCUGGUGGGGGCAACUUUCUUCUGAAUUAAGCCUGGGCAGCCAGAACUUCCCAGCCCCAGGCUUCUGACCUCACUCCGGGUUGGCUGCAGGGGCCUGCUGUGGAGCAAGCAGGAGGGGGCCGAUUUGCCCUUGCCUGUCACUCCAAGCAAGGAUCAAGGUCUUGCAUGAGGACCUGGAGGGGAUAUUGGCAGUGCUGGAAUUUCCUAGAGAACAGUUCAGUGAUGCCAGGUGCCAUGUGGUGGCACACGCCUGUAAACCCAGAGGCCAGGGAGGCUGAGAGAAGAGGAUUGAGAGUUUGAGGCCAACCUCAGGAAUUUAGCAAAGCUCUAACCAACUUAGUGUGACUCUGCCUUAAAAGAACAAAUAAAAAGGAGUGGAGAUGUAGCUCAGUGGUUAAAUACCUCUAGGUUCAAUCCCUAGUACCCAAAUAAAACAAAACAAAACCAUCAAAACAACAAUAAAAAACCAAAACAUUUCAGUGCCCACCAUCCUCACAGUUGUUGCUCAGGAGGAACUUAUAUAGAACGUGUUUUUCCAAGCCGGAGAGAAGGGCUAAGGUGAGUGAACACAUUCUAGGAGUAGACGCAGUUUGGUUUGGGGAGAUCGUCCCCCCCUGGGGGAAGCAUUACUAAUACCUAGGCUGUGGAGACCCUGAGCCGUAUUAGCCAGCGGAUUCUAUUGAGUUUCUCCCAUCUUCACUGUUAGGAGAUUUAUCCAACAAUUCAACCAAUGAUUGCUGGGCUGCUGUGUACCCAGUCUGAGGCAAACAGCACAGUUCUAAAUCCUGCUCAGGUGCUGCCUGGCUGUGCAAACUUGGGUCCUUAACCUCUCUGAACUUCAACUGCCUCAAAGACUCUUUGGCUCAGUAUCUAGACUGCAGAAGACCCCAACCUACUAACACCCCAACCAUGGGGGACACAGAGUAUAGGGGUUGGCAGGAACCUCCUUCAUGUCCCUCAGGGAACAGGGCAGAUAGAUGACAUGGCGUUCCUCAGGUCACACAACCAGGGAACCUGCGUUGUCAUGAGAAACCUUCAAAGGGAGUGUGUUUGUGCCUUUCUAGGUGGGAUGAGGCGGCUUCGCUGGGUGCUGAGUCAGGGGGAGAGGCUGAGCUCAGCAUGCCGGGAUAAGAAAGGGAGUGUGCAGGUGGGGUGUCGUGGGGAAGCUGGGGCCGAGGAGAACCCAGGAUGUUGCACAAGGAAGAGCGGGAGUGGGGGAAGGGCCACUUUUAUAAGGCAGUGGAAGAGGACAGGUUCAGGCUCCCUGGACGGAGGGCUGCCCGCCCCCGUGAUGAUGCUUCAUACUGCAGGGAUCAAAGCUGUCCUGUGCUCCAUUCCCUGGGAACGGGGAAGAGUGCUGGGGCCACUAACACUCGAGCUUCUCACGGGGGCCUGCUUGAUGUAGCUGCCUCCGUUUCCCUCAUGGCCAGCUCCCGCCCCCGCUUGUUUCUGAAGAGGCCUGUUUUAGCCCAGUUGUCCUCCUGCCGCCUCCAGCUUGGGUGGCUGACUCAGCCCCUGGCUUGAUGUCCAGGGGGCCUGUGGCUGUCCAUCUCAUCAAUGCCAAGCUUCUCUCUCUGGCUUUCACUGGCUUCUGCACAUCAGCCCCCACCUCCAUCUCUCUUUGUCCUGGACAGUGGCUCUGGACUCACCCUAGUUUAUCUGUUCAGUGACCUUGGCAUCUGACUCAAUUUUGUCUUUGGUCUUUGCAUAGACAGACACAGGGCAUGCUUCGGCCCGGCCCCCUUCCCACCCUGUACUU